CAGGGUAAAAGGCCGAGGGUGCCAGUGAACUGAGUAGGGAGACAGCUAACAGGCUAGCUGGGUGGAGAAGACUCCUCUUGUCCUCCCAACUGCUAAGACUAUAUAAGCUGCCACGAAGGAAAGGCUGGGGAGGAGAGUAGAAAGUCUGGAGGAAGGCAGGACUAGCUGCUAGUAAUUAAACUGUACCCUUCCCCGGAAGCAAGCUGGGGGGAAGCUAGUCAAUAUGGUGUGCAAAUAACACGCUAGGCUCUCUGGCACAGUGAGGGGUGGCUUCGAAUGCCAGCUGUUGUGGUGGCCAGGCUAGAAAAGGCUCCCAGGGAUUCCAUGCCAGCACGUCUCAUGGCUGCAGGAGUGCAGAGGGGAAGCCCGCAGGGUCUGGGGCCAGUCUACAGCCCUCGCUUAAUUCCCAGCACAAAGCCCUGUUGUUUGGGAUGGCGCGUGUGUGUGACUCUCACCUUAAAUGCAAACCUGUGAAUUUAAGCAUCACCGAGUUUGGCAAAGAACAUGGGAAUAGCCUUAUUGGGUCAGACUAAUGAUUCAUCCAGCCCAGUAUCCUGUCCUCCAACAAUGGCCAGCGCCAGAUGCUUCAGAGGGAAUGAACAGGGCAUGGUUAAGGACUCAUCAUAAAAGGACCUGUUACCAGAUGAUCUACAUGGAUCCUAUCUGUGAUAGAAAAGUUACAAGAGGAACCUUGUGAAGAUACAGAUUUCCUGCCUGUUACAACCUGCUGGUGCAACUGUAAGACAGAUGUCAAGGCAUUUAUGCAAAACAGAACUCUUAAAUACUCACUGCUUGAAACCUAAUACACUGAGUUCUCUGGCAGUUUUCAUUCACUGUGUAGGAGGCAAAGAGAUACACGAUGAGAAAGCAAGAAAGUGGAUACUACAUUGCCAAUCCUUGUUCCAGUACCUUCAUAACACUGUGUUGAGAGAAAGUUCAGAUGCCCUUUUAGGGCAGGUUUCCAGCUGGAUGCAAGGUUGAAGAUGGAACCCCAAAUGAAGAAGAAUUUUAUCAGGCACCUCCUACUGAAGUCAAUAGUCUGAGUGAAAACUGAGGGCCUAAUGCCUUUGGAGACCCCAGAGAAGUUAAAUGGAAGUAGGCUGGUAGUCUCCAUGAGUUUCUCUUUGUGUAGACUUUUUCUUGAUUGCUUCACACAGGGUUCUGGGUUUGCCUUCCAACAGGACAGGCCAUAGAACCAGCCAUCAGGCCCCUAAGACUCCUGGGGUCUGCCUGGAUCUCUGGGGAUCAGCAGGAGGUCAGAGCCAUCUGUGUGGGGACCAGAUAUUCUUGUGCCAGACCUGGGUGUCUUUCCUCUCCAGCAAAUCGAAUCCAGCAAAACUGCACUGACAAGGCUCCUACAGCUGGUGUCUGCUCUACUGAUCCAUUUUUAAGGAUAUGAUAAUAUGCUCUAAUUUAGAUCUCAACAGUGGCACCUCUUGUAUCUCUUUAUUCAGUCAGAAGUAAAAUGCACCCAAAGCUACAAGCAUUUUUAAAGGUCACAUUAUAACUGGAACCUUAAUUUUAAAAUGUUUUAUAAAUUAUUAAUAGCUGUUAUAAGCAUGUUGCAGACAUGAGUAACGUAUUACAACCCCAUUGCUAGAAGAUGUCAUAGAUGAUUAUAAACUAUAGUUAUAAGCAGCCUGUAGAUUUGUUGGACUUGCUGUUGGACUGAUCUGUAACAACUGAUUAAUCAUUUAUUAAAACAUCUACCAAUCAAGUAUUAGACAUUUACAAGCUCUGUAGAAAUGGAAUGUUCCUAUAAAGUGUGACAAGUUUUUACUAAUACCAUGGUACUUUUUUUUUUUUUAAAUAAAUUGGAGAUAUACCUACUAUCUCCUAGAACUGGAAGGGACCUUGAAAGGUAAUUGAGUCCAGCCCCCUGCCUUCACUAGCAGGACCAAGUACUGAUUUUUGCCCCAGAUUCCUAAGUGUCCCCCUCAAGGAUUGAACUCACAACCCUGGUGUCAUAAGUGGAUAGUUAAGAGUUAAUAGAACAGAAGUACUUCAUAUCUCUUUUGCCUGUAAAGGGUUAGCAAGAUCAGUGAGCCAGGCUGUCACCUGACCAGAGGACCAAUCAGGGGGCAGGAUACUUUCAAAUCUCAAAGGAGGGAAGUUUGUGUGUGUGCUGUUAGUUUUUGGUUGUUGUUCACUCUGGGGGCUCAGAGGGACCAGACGUGCAACCAGGUUUCUCUCCAAUAUCUCCGAUACAGGCUCUUAUAAGUUCCGAAUAGUAAGUACUAAGUAGAUAAGGCGAGUUAGGCUUAUGUUUGUUUUCUUUAUUUGCAAAUGUGUAUUUGGCUGGAAGGAGUUCAAAUUUGUAUUUUGCUGAAAGGAUUUUAAUUUAUACUUGUAUACUUAGGCUGGGAGGGUAUUCCCAGUGUCUAUAGCUGAAAGACUCUGUAACAUAUUCCAUCUUAAAUUUACAAAGAUAAUUUUUACUUUUUUUUCUUUCUUUAAUUAAAAGCUUUUCUUGUUUAAGAA